UCUUGUUUUUUGUUUAUGGACACACAUACACACAAUCACAUGGUAGUCAGUAUUCCUUGUAAUUCUUUCUCCUUAGAGCUUUCAUAAAGGUUAAGACUGUUAAUUACAUUGCACAUUUACCUGUGUGCUUUAUCUGAUACUACUUCUAGAGAUUUUUGUGAACAUUUAACAUAAAUCUUUAUGUAUGUGGACAUAUUUUAAGCAAAUUUGAACUCAAAUAGAAUUUUUAAUGCUAUGUUUUCAUUGGAAUGAAAUAAAAUACUAGAUAUUUCUCUGUGAACAGUGUUGUGAUGAGAUCUUUAUAAGUUGUAAUGAUCUCAUAAUCAUACUUCUGUCUUCGGUAGUAUUUACUAACUAUCUGAAUAUAGGAACAUUGUGUCCAUAUUAGGUGUGAAGACUGUUUUGACAAUGAUAAUAGUAUUUGUUUUGAUUGCUUAUUAUUAUUUAUAAUAUUCAUUGACAGCUUUUCAUUAGACUUUGCAUUUUUCUCUCUCCUACCACAAAGUUAAACACUAUCAUACCAAGUAAAUAACAUCUAAACAUUUCACCUAGAUGUUUAGUGAUGUUUUAGUGUAGGUAAUUUUUAGGUGAGUUUUACUAAUGUAGUUCUUUUCCUUGAUGUCUUCUACCUUCAAAUUGGUAAGAAUUCCCAAGUAUUUUUGAAACAUGUUUUUAUUGGUAAAUUUUUGAGUGAUGAUUUGGCAUUUUCUUUGAUGCAUAUCCUUUAUAUCAGAAGAACAUUUAUAGUGUACGUAACUCUAUAAACAAAUGAUCUUUUGUUUUCUGAGUUACGUCAUCCUUUAAUAUAUUGAUUAGCAUUUGAGAACAUUAGAGAUUUUAUUAAUUUAUAUAUAAAUUACCAAAUUAUUAAUUUUUGUGGGUACUUAACUCGUAAGUAUUUACUAAGUAGCUGCUAUAUGCCUGGCCAGAUACUAGAGUGACCAAGUUCAUUGAAUCCAGCUUUUGGUUUGAGGAGUCAGGAUACCAUCACUCACAAGGGAAGAUUUACAUAGGUCAGUCUUGGCAGUAUAUAGUAGAGUGUCAGGUGUGGAAGAAGCCUAGUAAAUAUUGAUACUUUAACCACUGAUACUGUAAUGGCUUUUAUUUAUUUUAGGCUAGUUGCUUUCAUAUUUUCUAAUUAAAAAUGUUUAAAUGACAUUUAACCAAGUAAACUUAUUUUCAGCAUGACUUCAAAAUAUUAAAUAAGCUGAUUUCCAUUAAGCUUUUUCCCUUACAUAAAUUACAUGGUCAUUCUAUUUAAAAAUAGAAAUUUUUAAAAAAUUUUUUGAUAAAAGAAAUUUGUGCCAAGUUUGAAUUAUAGUGAUUAAUAGGGUUAAAAAGAAUAUAAAAAAUGAGUUUUAAAUAUUUUUCUGGAACAGUUUUUUAACAUCUCUUACAGUUAUUUGAUUCUUUAAUAGUUUUAUGGUUUUUAUCAUAAGAAAAUUGCUGUGAACAAAGUUGUUUUUACUGCAUAAUACUUUUAAAAAUGUAACUUUCAGAACUGACAUAAUAACAAGAUUGUUGGCGUCUAUGGAUUGAGAAAAUCUUACUCCUCCCUAAUUGCUUAUCUCUCUUCUCUUUUUCUGUCUUCUCUUAAUUUUCUGUCAUACAAAAUUAAUUAGCAUUAUUUACUUUACUACCCCCAUUUCUUUUACCCGGAAGCAAAGAAUCUUUUGAUGUAAACUAGAAAUGUGAAAACAAACAAAAAUAUAAACACCUUGUUUUGAGAACUCUUAUCCCAUUUUCUGUAUUUUAUAUAAACUCCAAAGCCUUACUGCUUUAAAAAGUAUUGUUCUCAGUCAGUAGCCUCCUGCUCCAGGGUGUUGAGGGUAGGGUGGCACUUGAAAAAAAAAAAAAA